UACGUAGGCAGCGAGCGUUGUUCGGAGUUACUGGGCGUAAAGAGUGCGUAGGCGGUUUUCUAAGUUUGGUGUGAAAUCUCCCGGCUUAACCGGGGAACUGCGUCUGAUACUGGAUGGCUUGAGAUUGGGAGAGGGAUGCGGAAUUCCAGGUGUAGCGGUGAAAUGCGUAGAUAUCUGGAGGAACACCGGGGGCGAAGGCGGCAUCCUGGACCAACACUGACGCUGAGUGAGCGAAAGCCAGGGGAGCAAACGGG
rnacentral:rRNA from 1 species